GGUUUGUCUAGUUUUUAGCUCUUGUGUAAAUCUUAAGAAUAAAAUAUCAGAAAUUAUAGAUGAGAUCUAUUAACCCAUUCCCUUCAUUCCCCUCUUUGAGCAAGACCUUGCUCAUACCCCAUUUGGGUUGUUUUAGCCAGGGUAACUGUUCAUGGUAUAUUCAGAAUUGCUAGCCAAUUCUGCAGGACUUUCAUUAUUUCUUCGGCCACUAUUCCCAUGGCAUAUACCCUGGCUAAUCAUAGAUAUUCUGGGGUUCGGGAAUAUAACUAUCAUGCAUAUAGAAUUGUAAGAAUUCCGCAUACACUGGUGGUGGAGGUAGUGGACGUGAUGGGGGUGUGUUUUUGUAGAUGCAGAAUAUCACUCUUAUAAGUACAUAAAAGAAGAGAGAAAUAGAAGCCCCCAUAACCAAGAUCAGACCUAUGGUUUUUACUGAAUUAAUGAUAGAAGAGAAAUUAAACCAGUCACCCCAGUAAUUAUCUACCCCAGAGUUACUCUUUAUCUCCUUUGCCAAAUCUUCUAAUUUCUGUAUUGCUAAUGUUACCUUUCCGUUGGGGCCAGUGUUCUGAGGGAUAUAGGUGCAACAUACUCCUGAGGCGAUGUAUUUACAAACCCCCCCUUUCUCAGCUAGCAUUAUAUCUAGGGCCAUUCUAUUUUGAAAGGUCAUUUGGGAGGUAGCUUGUAAUUGUUCAGCAAGGCCUUGUAGGGCAUCUUUAGUAUAAUUAAUGAACCUUUGCUGAUUAUAAUAUAUGUAAUUAAUCCAAUCAACAUUUUUAUUGGCAGUAAUCAUAGGGAAUAUGGAUUCAAAUCCAGCUGCAACUUCAUCUCUUGCCUUGAAUUCUUUAGGGACUCCCCGUGGGAUACCUAUAGAGUCUAAGUAAAUGUGGGGAUCAAGGCUACCAGUGGGCACUUCCCUCUUCCUUCGGUUGGAGACCGGUAUUGCUUUAGAGACAGACAGAGAAUCACUAAAGAUGUGUAGGGGCAUGAUAAUUUUAGCUGGGGUGCAUUCGCCUCUCCAUGGAGUGGGGAGCCUAUACCUAAUCUUCAUAUCCCCACAGAUCCAGUAUACAUCUCCAACCGAUAGAGUCUGGUUUAGUAGGGUAAUGUUACUAUAAAAGGGACAAAAGCCAUCAGAAAAGUUACCAAAUUGUUUUCCUUUGUUGUUAGUGUUGUUACCCCUAAAACAUGUCUAAUUACCAGGAUAAAUGGAGACGGCAUCAUGUAAUUUAAAUUUAGGCUCACCUAAAGGAUGCAUUACCUUCCAGGUGUCACAACCGUCUGUAGAAUCAUUUGUACCAGUGAAUAGACUAAGGAAACAGUUCCAGUAUCUGUCAGGGACAGUGAGUGGGACGGUCCCUAGAUGAGGCCUGGAACUGCCACACACAUAGCAGUUAGACCUAUUAUUGGAAUGAGCAUUAUAUCUCAUCCAUUCUAGCCAGAGAUUAAUGUCGGUGUAUCCAGUUUCUAGGGCAACAGUAUCCUCAAAUGUCGCGUCUGCUAUUGCCAUCAUAUCUCCAAGGGUUUGUACACGUGGUUUAAGGGGGUUAACAGGUGUCUGUUGUGAAGUAUGACUCUCCCAUUCUGUUGAGUUCCACAUAUCCUUAAACUGGAACUUUCCUUUAGUGGCAGGGGAUGCUACACCUAUAUAGCUAGACAAUAUGUAUAAGCCCUCAUCAUUUUUAUUGGGAUUUUCUAGGUUUAGUGUCAAGGGCAUUCGUUUACCUAAUUUCUUUCUGUAACAAGAAUAUAUGUUUGACCUAGGAUCAGUUCUAGUAAUGGUCAAACGGUCCUUAAGUGGUCUACCUGACUUGUCUCUCCUGUACAUAGUACUUAUUGGUCUAUAUUCCCAAUCUGUACCAGUGUUCCAGGCUACCGAGCCCCAAUAAUCACAAUUGUUUCCUCAGUAGCUAUCAGUGAUGCAAAUAUAUUGUUGACGUGGUGGAGUGUAUAGAUAACAUUCAUUACUACGUUCCUUAUGACUACAGGGUACUAUAUUACAGUAAUCAAAUGUGAAUGUUGCUACUGAUGUACUGGAUGAAUUGAACCAAAACUGAAAAAUGUCAUCUGCUCCCUUAAUGAUGGCUACCUGAGGUUUGUUAUCAGAAGAGAGACUAUGCAGCUUACGUUUGAGUAGAUGGUUAGAUGAAUUGUAAGGAAGGUUAGUAGGGUAGGUACCAUUGGCAACCCCUGUCGGAAAAACAGCCUGUGUGUGUGUACAGAAAGGCAGUAUAGGAUUAUCAAAGUGAUAUAAACAGUCACUAAUCAAAUAGGUCGGGAGCGUAACACAUAAGAAACAUAUCAGUAGCAGGAGCAUAAAUCUGGCAUCGCUGGUCAGGAGUGGCAUCAUUCCUGCCUUUGUCUUUAUCUUUGUCUUUGUCUUUGCCUUGGUCUUUGCCUUGGUCUUUGCCUUGGUCUUUGUCUUUGCCUUUCACUCGGGAAGCAUGAAUCCAGAGGUCCUGGGAAUCUGUGAGGACAGCCGUCCGUGUCACAGCGAUAACGGUGGUUGAUGGGCCAAAAGGAUAUCCACCCUUCUUUUUACGGUUUAGUUGUCGAAUGUAUACGGUAUCUCCAGGCUUGAAAGAAUGUGUAGGUUCCUGUGAAGGCAAAGGAAACUGCGAAGAGACAUUGCCAUAUAUACCAUUCAAUUUUAUCAAUAAUUCAUGCACAUAUUGUUCUUGUAUUAAGUGUAAAUCACCAGGCAUAAUUAUUAAAGGUUCCCUGGCCCAGGGAGUGGGAAAUGGGCGUCCCAUAAGAACUUCAAAUGGAGAUAAUUUAGUCACUUUAUGGGGAGUCAUUCUAAUCUCAGCCAAAAUGGCUGGAAGAUAUUUUGUCCAAUUUACCCAAGUGC